rnacentral:rRNA from 1 species
AGAGUUUGAUCCUGGCUCAGAUUGAACGCUGGCGGCAGGCCUAACACAUGCAAGUCGAGCGGAUGAUGGGAGCUUGCUCCCGGAUUCAGCGGCGGACGGGUGAGUAAUGCCUAGGAAUCUGCCUGGUAGUGGGGGACAACGUUUCGAAAGGAACGCUAAUACCGCAUACGUCUUACGGGAGAAAGCAGGGGACCUUCGGGCCUUGCGCUAUCAGAUGAGCCUAGGUCGGAUUAGCUAGUUGGUGGGGUAAAGGCCUACCAAGGCGACGAUCCGUAACUGGUCUGAGAGGAUGAUCAGUCACACUGGAACUGAGACACGGUCCAGACUCCUACGGGAGGCAGCAGUGGGGAAUAUUGGACAAUGGGCGAAAGCCUGAUCCAGCCAUGCCGCGUGUGUGAAGAAGGUCUUCGGAUUGUAAAGCACUUUAAGUUGGGAGGAAGGGCAGUAAGUUAAUACCUUGCUGUUUUGACGUUACCAACAGAAUAAGCACCGGCUAACUUCGUGCCAGCAGCCGCGGUAAUACGAAGGGUGCAAGCGUUAAUCGGAAUUACUGGGCGUAAAGCGCGCGUAGGUGGUUUGGUAAGAUGGAUGUGAAAUCCCCGGGCUCAACCUGGGAACUGCAUCCAUAACUGCCUGAC